GAACAGCCAGUGUUGCAAACCUGGCAGCAUCUAGGGCUCUUUUUUCUUUCCCCGUUUUCACUGUUAAAAUUCAUCUCCGACAUGGCACCCAGGGCUGAAAUCAACAGUCUCUUAUCAGAUCCCAGAUCUGUCAGCCGAUGUCUACCAGCCGCCUGGAGCCAAAAGCCUCUUAGCACAUGUGUGACUCGAGCUGAAAAGGGGUUGGGACGACAGCGCAGGCAGCUUUGUUCUGGCGCCCUUGUUCCCAAACAUUUGCUCAUUUCGAGCCCGGGAGGCAGCGUCUCAGAUCCACGGCUUCCAGGCCUGGUUCAAGCCUUGGUCUCUGUUCCGCAGCCACCAGCCACCAGCCCGGGGCCAUGGGGCCAGCGGCCAUGCUCAUCCCGCAUCCCUCGGCUCCUGCUCUUUCCUGCAAACCCAGGCGUCUGACCAGUGGACCGACCUGGUCCAAGGAGCCAGGCCAAAGCGAGGGGACCCUCGGGCCCUGAGAACAGCCGCCUGGCCUCCCUGUGCCCACCUGCUCUGCAGGGACCCGCAGGUCUCCAGCCUUACGGAAGGGUCACUCCUCUGCAGCUCGGCUGCUUGACCUCCCUCCGGAGGCUCCCUCCCCCCGCUUUACUUCCCUUUGUCAACAUCCCAGCCUCGGGCUCCUGCGAGGGGCCUUAGUUUAAACUUGAUUCUCCAUCACGGUAAUUCUUUUUUUUUGUCUUUUUAGGGCUGCACCCAAGGCAUAUGGAAGUUCCCAGGACAGGGAUUGAACUGGAGAUGCAGCUGCCAACCUAUCCCACAGCCACAGCUCCACAGACACAGGCGUGUCUGACCUACCCCACGGCUCACGGCAACACCAGAUCCUUAACCCACUGAGCGAGGCCAGGAAUCGAACCUCGUCCUCAUGGAUUCUAGUCAGGUUCAUUACCGCUGAGCCACUCCUGUCACAGUAAUUUUAUAUUUAUAUGUAUUUAUAAAGAGGUAUUUAUAUACUUAUAUUAAUACAUUAAUAUAUCAGUAUGUUAAUACUGAUACCCAUUAUUCUUUAUAUAUUUAUAUUAAUAUUUAUAUAUCUAUAAAGAGGUAUUUAUAUAUUUAUUUACAUUAGUAUAUAAAUACUGUAUCAAUGCUAAUAUUAAUCUAGCAUUAAUCUUUAUAUGUUUAUAUUUAUGUAUUUAGAGGCGUUUAUAUAUUUAUUUACAUUAAUACAUUAAUACUAUAUCGAUAUGUUAAUGUUAACCCGUUAUUCAUCUUUAUAUAUUUAUGUAAUCUUUUUUAUACACAUUUUAAGGCUUUUCCCCCCAAAAGUCUAGAGGGCGUGCGCAUGUGCCCAGCACCCUAAAUCUUCGAGUGACAUCAUCCUUUCCUCCAAGACUCUUACUGAUUCUGUUUCAUAGAUCAAAAAUUAAUCUACAUAGUAGUCCCCGUUAUUGCUUCCUUGUUUGGUUUUUCAUUCCCUAGCUAAUUCAAAUUUUAUUUGAUGAUACUGUGAAAUUUUUUUUUGUCUUUUGUCUUUUUACGGCUGCACCUGCGGCACAUGGAGGUUCCAUGCGGCAGGAUCCGAGCUGCGUCUGCAACCUACACCACAGCUCAGAGCAACAUCAGAUCCUUAACCCACCGAGUGAGGCCAGGGAUGGAACCCUCGCCCUCAUGGAUACUAGUCGGGUUCAUUAACUGCUAAGCCACGACGGGAACGCUGAUACUGUGAACUAUUGAGGAGGUACACAGUGUAUAUAGAAUAAUUCAGGGAACUACUCUGUAUCCACCAUCCGAUUGAAGAAAUAAAACCGUGCCCAUACAUUGGGGCUCUCAGGGUAUCAGCUCCAGGCUGCAUCCGUAUUGAACCCCGCACGAGUCGAUAAACACCACCAUGAAAUCAGACCUUAGCAUCACAGUGCUUUGCUUUACACAAUUAUUACAUAGGUCUGCAUCUCUGCACAGGAUAGAGUAUCCUGUCCACGUUUUAUUUAUUUUUUUUAUCAAUGAACCUCAGCAUAUGUAUUCCUCUGUGACCCUUUCCUUAUCCAAUAUUACAUUUUUGAGAUUCCUGCAUGUUAACAUAUAACACACUGACUUCUGCCUUUUCAUGGCUGUGUAGUACUCCCCACAUGGAUAUAUCACAAUUCACGGAUCUCUUGAUUUACUGAUGACAUUUAAAGUGCUUAUGGUUUUUUACAUAACAAUUUGAGAAAUGCUGUGAACAUUCUAGGACUGGUCCUCUUUCUUCUUUCAAAGUGGGGGCAUUGUCUUAACAGAUUUUCUAAUAUUAAACCAGCUUUGGAUUCCUGGGAGAAACCCAACUUAGUCGUGAUGUAUUUUUAUUCUUAUGAAUUACUGGAUUCAGUCUGAAACUUUAACACCAAAGCCUGUAGGCAGUCACAGGUGGCAGGGGGCUGAUCCCAGACUCAGGACCAUCCUUGACAGGCCUCGUAACCGACUCCCUUUUGACAGUUCCAGGCACACAGCCCAAGCCUCCCCUGUGCCCCCACCCCCAGAACGCCCUCCACCUGGCUCCCAUCC
rnacentral:lncRNA from 1 species